rnacentral:rRNA from 1 species
UACGAAGGGGGCUAGCGUUGCUCGGAAUCACUGGGCGUAAGCGCACGUAGGCGGAUUGUUAAGUCGGGGGUGAAAUCCUGGAGCUCAACUCCAGAACUGCCUUCGAUACUGGCGAUCUUGAGUCCGGGAGAGGUGAGUGGAACUCCGAGUGUAGAGGUGAAAAUUCGUAGAUAUUCGGAAGAACACCAGUGGCGAAGGCGGCUCACUGGCCCGGUACUGACGCUGAGGUGCGAAAGCGUGGGGAGCAAACAGGG